rnacentral:lncRNA from 1 species
GGUCAUUUUGAUGUACAGUAGAAAAUUGACAGAACUCUUUAAACUAUAAUGGACAAAAUAAAAAUAUUUAAAACAAUUUUUUAAAUAAAAAAAACAGUUCCCCUUUGUAUUUUUCUGUUUGAACUAUAUUUAUGUUGCUCUUAUCCUCAGUACAUACAGAUCUAUAUGCAAGAAUUUGAUGGAUUGGCUCUUAAUUGAUAUAAACUAUGCCUUUUUAUUUAAAAAUAAAUUUUCCCUUAAUUUUCAUUGUGUAUAACCUUCAUAUUUCAUCUUAAUUGUUUGUUGGCAUUUGUCUGUUAGUUGUUUUCCAUUCUUCUCUUUUCAAUACAUCUUUGUAUUUUACCAUACUAUUUUUUUCAAACUUUGAAAGUCAGGUACACAUAAAAUUCCCAAAAGAGAAUGAUGUCAAUUUGCCAUAGUUGCUUCUCUCACAUUCUCUUCAUCCAUUUUCUAACAAAUUUCAUUAAACCUCCUAUCAAUUCUAUUUAUUUAAUACAAAAUCUAAGCUAGCAGUAUUUAUUUGUGGCACAAGAUGUAGCAUAAUAUGGAGGGGGGGUAGAUAAAUCAAUAAAAGUUUACAGUAUGACCCUUGAUUUUUAAGAGGCAAAUCUCCUAGAGAAACAGAAAAACAAGUAAAUGCCAAUAGUAUGGAACCCAUAAUUUGUGUGAUAUUCAAAGAAGGAGGAAAAUGCCUACUGAAAUAGUUGGAACACAAUUCAUUGACCUUUUUAGUUAAUAAAUGGAAGAAAGACCAUUUUGAUUUUUUUAAUAGGGGAAUAGCAUAAGUGAAAACAUUCAUUCAACCAUUCAUUCAGUUCAAAAAACAUUGACUGAACAACUAUUUUUUCCAAGAACUGAGAUUGGUGUUGGAAAUACAAUAGUGUAAAACAAUGGCUCUGUAAAAUGAAGCUUAGAGUCCAUCAGGAGAUUCUAUCAUCCAAGUAGGUAUAAAAUUAAGUUCUGUACCCAAGAAGUGAAGUGGUGGAUCAUCACCUGGAGGGAAAAUUUGGCUAGGAAGGCUCAAAAAGUCCUUCUCAAAGUGCAAAUGAUAAAGUGAGGUCCAAAAAAAGAGUGGGUUACAAUCAUGCAGGAGUAAAGAGAGGGAGUUUACUAUGGAGAGAAACAGUGUGGGCAAAGGCUCAAAGGCAGGAGAACCUGGCUUGUUCUACUUCUCUUUGAAGCUCAAAUGACAAGAGAAAGGGGUCACAUGUCAUGGGAAGCAAUGAGACAUAUACUAAAAGCAGCUGAGGUGGACACUUUAGGUCAGGUUAAAGAUUUUAAUCAUUGUCUUUAAAAUGAUAGAAAACCAUUACUGAAAUAUUUAAAAUACAGUAAGGGUUUGAGGGGGUUAGAGCAAGGUUUCUCCCUAGCCAGAAUCACAUGAGGCUGAUUUGACAUGAUUGGUAUUUGCAUUUUAGGGGCCUCCCUGCCUCUCCCUCUGAAUGGAGAAUGGAUUGGAAGCCUAGAGAGAAGCCAUAGGGAAGGGACUACUGCAAAAGUACAACUGAGAGCUCAGAGUCGUUCUGUCUAGAAUGGUAGCAUUGAAAUGGAAAUUUAUAGUGGAACAAUAUUGAAAGGCAUUGCCAAUAGGGCUUUAAGAUGGAUUGGAUAUAGGAUGAGAAAGAUACGGAUGUGUCAAGGAAGGACUCCAAGGUUUCUGGCCUCUUCAACAGAAUGGGGAGAAUGUGGAGCAGAAGGAGAUAGUGAGGUUUCUUCAGGACAUGAUCACAGUCACUGAGAAUGGAGUAAUCAUGCAAAUGAUGGCAAUGAUGCCAACACCAAUGAGGCAGCAGCUGAAAAUGCCUAAUGGAGGAUGGUGCAAUAGAAAUGAAAAUGAAAUGGGUUAGGAGGAGGCAGACAAAAAGGUAAUUGAAAUUCAGAUAGUGCUAUUUAGAUCAUAUUAAAUCAGGCUAUGUAUGAUCAGUUGGUGAUUUUUUUAAGAUACACAACUACUUCUCAGUGUCUUGGUUUUCUCAUUUUAACAGCAUAAAAUUGUAUCUACUCAUAGGGUCCUUGUGAGGGUUAAACAGGAUAACAUGGAUGAAGUGUCUAGUUCAAUAGUGCUUAAUAACUUUUUUAAGAGUAAAGGGAGAGACAAAUGAGGUCCCAUUUUCAAUUUGAACUGCAACCUUAUAUAUUGCUUAUCACAAUCUCUAUUUCAGAUGUUUGGGAAAAGAAAAAAGGAGAUUAGGUGAUUUGUCUCCAGUCAAAGACUUUUAUUAGUUAAGUCUGUUCUCUGAGUACUAAUCCAGCAGGCUCUCAGGCAUUUUCCUAGCACAAAGUGCAGUAACAUAAAUUUUAAGACUGAGAUUAAGAAAUUAUUGACCUGUUUUAUGAAAGUUGUCCAAAUUGUCUCCAUUCAAAACAUAGUUGUCAUUUGGACAAUACAUCCAAAUACAUGGUGCUCAAGAGGCAUGAAAGGAAAGGAAUCCUCACUUACUCCUGGGAAACCCUCAAUCUGCUGGCUUCACGAGCCCGUCAAUCAAGAAUGAGUCACCUGUGUUGGCACCUACCCAGUCACCUGGGGUCAAGAAUCUCUAAUUGCAGGGAAAAGGGAAAGCAGCAGCCAUUCUGACACUGCCGGGGGACAUCCUUUCCAGUUUUGAAUAGCAAAUUUAUAGCAUAGAAAGUGGAAAUUUCUCCCAAGCUCAGUUUUAGCUCAGAACAAAAACAUACAGUAUACUUGAAUUAUUGUUAAAUAGUGGUUGUGGUGGAGAACGUCAGCACACAUGAUCUGGAUCUGAUAUUUAACUCUUACCUUCUCUUUCCAUUCUGCAUAACAGUUGGGCAAAUCUCCCAUACUAAAAAGAAACAGAAACAGAAGUAGUUAAUAUGAUUUAGUUGUCUCCAGCCCAGCCUCAUAAACUUGGGGAAGAGCAGUAAAUAUUAUUUGAUGAUGAUAAUGAUGAUGAAAUUGGCACCCUCUUCCCAAGCUUGAGAAGAAAAGGAUUCUAUUCAUUUAUAAAUUUUACUAGAUAAUUUAGCUAAGUGGGUCUUCAUGACAUAAUUUUAGCUCAAAAUAUGUUUUAUGAGGUUAUAAAUUAGAUUGUUUUAAUAGUUUCAACUAAAGCACUGGUAUAUUAAUACGUAUAUAAUUACACAAAACUUUUUUGAUUGAAUGUGGGUAAAAAUACAUAGCAAUUGAGAAGAAAGCACAUCACAUCUCCUGGGGGUGUUUGAUAAAUAAUAAAGUCUGAUAAUGAAUUGUAUACAAUUAACACUUUGUAUUUUUUACCAAAAUCUAUAAAAACCCUUUUUGUAGGGCACUGGAUAAGUCUUAAUUAAAAUCUCAUUUCCUUGCAGCCCUCACUUGAAAUAUGCUAAGAAAACUCAAAGUCCUGAGAAAAGAAAUCAAAGUGAAGAACAUAUUCAGACAAGUUUCCAGUGGACACCCAUCAAAGUUUCUCCUGGUCAAUUGUGACUGGCUAACGUUACGUUUCAGUGGCCUGUGUGCUACUACAUUAAAAGGUCAGCUUCACUCUAAUAGAAAAUGCUUUGGAAGUCUGAACUGAUCUGUGUUAUUCAGAAUAUAACAGACAUCUUCAAUCAAAUUCCAUCCAGAGAAUUUUCUGGGCACGAUUUAAAAUGUGGGGAAAAAAAAUUUAAACCAUUCACCUAUCUCUGGGAAUCAGAACUGAUUACCUCAUACAAUAUCUAAAGGUUCAUCAAAGCAAAGAUCUUCGAGAAGCAAUCACAGUGACAAAAUCAGUAUCCGAGUUCAUUUCUCUGAGUUUCUUAGCAGUGAAUUUUAUCAUGGAUCUUUUCGGCUCCAUCAUUUUUUUAUUCAAACAGACAGAUGUUUAUAGCCCAAAAAAAAAAAAAAAAAAAAAAAAAGUGUGUAAGAGGGAGGAAGAACGUGAAAAAAAAAGAGAAUGCUGUAAUUUAUAAUAUGCUAGAGCACAUGCGUUGUCACUGUUUUGCUCUUUUAACGUACAUGAGUCAUGAGAAAAAAAGAGAGGGAGACACUUCAGUAGAAAAUGAGAAACAGAUUUCAUAUUACCAACUAAUCAAGUCAGAAUGGACCGUAAGGACCUUCCAAAAAUUAUUGCCUGAAAGAUGCAUCACCUAAAAAAAUCAUUCUAAGCCCUGGAAGUAUAAGUCUUAUUAAGUCAAAGCCCUGGUAUUAGUCAAAUUCUAUCCAAGAAAGUGGAAGCCACUCUAGGUCUUUAAUUCAGAAAUGUUUAAUAUAGAAAAUCAUUUCACAGAUGAUACAGUUGUUGAGGAACAAACAGAGGAAGGUAAGGCAACAGUAGGAAGCCUUUACUACCUCCAGAGCAGGAGAGACCAUGGCAGGUAGGGUAUCCAGAGGCCUUGGUUAGAAUGGUAACCUCAAAGUGAAGGGCUUCCUGAGGGGAACUGGAGUGAUGGAGAAGAAAUCACUGAUAGUGAUACCACAGGAACUGAAAGAAAAGGGACAGAAAGAGUCAGGCUUCUUCCCUCCUUCUACCCUCAAAUCUUUAGCCAGUGCCUGCCUAUAGAAGUUGGCUUGAGCUGCAUGAACAAAAUAUCAUAGACUGGGUGGCUUAAAAAACAAACGUAUUAUCUCAAAGUUCUGAAGGCUAGAAGUACAAGAUCAAGGUUUCUGGUAAGAUUGCUCUUCUUGGCUUGUAGACUGCCUUCUUGCUGUGUCCUCACAUUGACUUUUUUUGGGGGGUGGGGGCAUGACAGUGAGAGAGAAAGAGAAAAGCUCUCUGAUGCCUCCUGAUUAUAAGGAUAUUAAUCCUAUCAGAUGAGGGCCCCACCCUUAUAAUCUCACUUAACCUUGAUUACUUCCUUAGACACUCCAUCUCCAUUAGAGGUUAGGGCUACAACACAUGAAUUUGGGAGGAACACAAACAUUCAGUCCAUAAUACUGCCUUUGGCUGAGGCUUCUGAGAUGCCAAUGGGCAAGGAACCCUGGGAAAUGUCCUGCAAUACGGAAACAGGGGAUAUGCAGAGUAGAUUGAAGGUUUAACUUGUGCAAUUGACCUCUGAACUACUGUAAUCUGAUUUUUAAUGGAACUUGGAGAAAAACACUAGUACCAUUGAGUGGACUUCGUAUAAUCUGGUAAAAUACGUGUUCCUUGAUUACCCUAAAUGGCAGAUCAGUAUGUACUCAUAGAUUUGAUAGUUGUGAUCAAUCAAAACCUUGGCUACUGAAAAUGGCUAAUUUAUCACCAACCAAAAUAACUUCCCCUAAACCUGCAGCAUUAUAGAAACUGUUCCCAGACAACAAAAUUUAUUCGACUGAUGAAAAAAAGCUAUAUGAAUAAAAUGAAAAUAGUAUUCUAUUAUAAUAAGAUGAAAAACACAUAAAAAUAGGUUGCUCCCCAGGUUUCCUUAUUAAUCCCCCACUCGUAUGGUUGCAGAGACUUGACAAAUACCUAAAAGCAAUACUCCUCACUAAAAUAGGACCAAACCCCAAGAAAGUUUGUCAUCAUUGUUUGCACAAGGGGUCUUUCAUCACAAUCAGUACUCUAAAUCUGGGAAGUCCCACAAAAUCCAAAUCCAAAUGCACAAACCUCACUUCUAGUUAUUGCACUGGCUUUGCAAACCUUCAUAGGAGAAGCUAUAAUUGCUCUGUAGAUCAAUAAAGAUAGUUUUAGACUAUUCUCAACAGAUACUGUUUCAGAUAACAAAGGAGGAAAUACACAAGGCUAAUCGAAAUCAACAACAAUCAAUCCAUAUGCAAAGUACAAUGGCUUUUUAACUGGGGUUUCCUAGAACACAGUGUCUUCCUAUUUUACUUUGAUCUCAAUGAAUGAUAUGAGUCCUGGCAAUAUAUACAAAUAUAAGCCUUUAGAAGUCAUAUGUUUUUUUGUGCAUUGCAUUUCAUUUCUGGAAAUCUAAGGAAAUAAAUGUCUAAAAAAAGCUUUACGCAUCAAGGUAUUUAUUAAGUCAUUCAUAAUAUUACAAAUCAGAUAUAGUCUAGCAUUUCUGACAGUAAGAGAAUGUUUAAAGAAGCCAUGAUUCAGAAAUAUAAUGGACAGUUAUAUGAUCAAUAAAAAUUAUAAUUAUAAAGAGAAUUUAUAAACAUGACACUACACAAGUAUAAAGCACUACCAGAGCAAUAUUACAUGAAAAAACAAGGUCGAACACAGCAAAUGUUAAUAUUUAGUUUAUAAUCCAUAAAUGUCAAUAGUGGUCAUCUUUGAAUUUUAGGAUUAUGGAUGUCCCUCUUUCUACUUUUCUCUAUGGUACAUAUUUUUCACAUUGACUAAUACUUCUGCAGGAGUUGGGAGACCAUAAAAAGUCAAUCACUGCUAGUACUUCACACUUUUCAUUUUACUUGGUAUCUCCCCAGUUUCCUUGAAUUGGCACAGUAGUUUUGGAGGCCAAAUCUAUGAGAGCUCAACUAUCCACCCGGCAAGCUGCUCACUGCUUCUCAGCCCUAUCCCAGCCUCUUUAAUUAAAUUCACAAGUCUCUUGAGAAUCCCUUUUCUGCUGAGUAUCAUGUUAAUACAACAGGAAAUCCAAAGAGGUAAGCCAUGUACCUGAUUCAAACUUAGAAUUUGAUUUGGGGACACAAGUUAUAUACUGGAAAUAAAAAUUAGGGAGAAAAUAGCAUUUAAUUGGAUUCCUUGGGCCACAGACUGGAGAUACUAUUGAUAGCAGAAGUUCUUCUACAAAAAAUAAAGUUAUAAUUUUUUAAUCAAUUCAGAGGAAUUUUUGGAACUGUUUAAAAAGCAUAAAUAUCGGGAGUUCCCGUUGUGGCUCACCAGUAACGAACCUGACUAGUAACCAUGAGAAUGUGGGUUCGAUCCCUGGCCUUGCUGUGUGAGUUAAAGGAUCCAGCAUUGCUGUGAGCUGUGG